rnacentral:rRNA from 1 species
UGGGGAAUAUUGCACAAUGGGCGAAAGCCUGAUCCAGCAAUGCCGCGUGAGUGAUGAAGGCCUUCGGGUUGUAAAGCUCUUUUACCCGGGAAWAAAAUGACUGUACUGGGAGAAUAAGCCCCGGSUAAUUCCGUGCCAACAACCGCGGUAAUACGGAGGGGCUAGCAGUU